rnacentral:rRNA from 1 species
CGCUGGCGGCAUGCCUAAUACAUGCAAGUCGAACGAACACUUCGGUGUUAGUGGCGCACGGGUGCGUAACGCGUGGGAAUCUGCCCUUGGGUUCGGAAUAACAGUUAGAAAUGACUGCUAAUACCGGAUGAUGACGUAAGUCCAAAGAUUUAUCGCCCAAGGAUGAGCCCGCGUAAGAUUAGCUAGUUGGUGAGGUAAAGGCUCACCAAGGCUACGAUCUUUAGCUGGUCUGAGAGGAUGAUCAGCCACACUGGGACUGAGACACGGCCCAGACUCCUACGGGAGGCAGCAGUGGGGAAUCUUAGACAAUGGGCGCAAGCCUGAUCUAGCCAUGCCGCGUGAGUGACGAAGGCCCUAGGGUCGUAAAGCUCUUUCGCCUGUGAUGAUAAUGACAGUAGCAGGUAAAGAAACCCCGGCUAACUCCGUGCCAGCAGCCGCGGUAAUACGGAGGGGGUUAGCGUUGUUCGGAAUUACUGGGCGUAAAGCGCGCGUAGGCGGAUUGGAAAGUUGGGGGUGAAAUCCCGGGGCUCAACCCCGGAACUGCCUCCAAAACUUCCAGUCUGGAGUUCGAGAGAGGUGAGUGGAAUUCCGAGUGUAGAGGUGAAAUUCGUAGAUAUUCGGAGGAACACCAGUGGCCGAAGGCGGCUCACUGGCUCGAUACUGACGCUGAGGUGCCAAAAGUGUGGGGAGCAAACAGGAUUAGAAUCCCCUGGUAGUCC